GUAUUAGUCUGUAUGGGUUGAAGUCUUUUGGUAGUGUAUGGUGUGACUGUGUAUCGUGGCCAUCUCAACUGCAGCAUUAUAUGACUCAAAAAUACGGAAGAUUUGCCUUGAUGAUUCUUUGGGACUGAGAAGGAUAAAGAAUUGUGGAUUUCUACAGAUGAAUGAGAUCAUGAUAGCUAUGAAACUUCUGGGAAAAGUGUCAGCAAUUCAGGGGAAGCAUGAAGUCUAGGCUUUUAGCUUAAG